GCCGGGAUUUGCAGUCACUGAGUUCGUGUCCCUCUGCCUCUCUGAGGGGCGCCGCCGCUCGCCUGGCCAUGGACGAUACCCUGUUCCAGUUGAAGUUCACAGCAAAACAACUGGAGAAACUAGCGAAGAAGGCAGAGAAGGACUCCAAGGCCGAGCAGGCCAAAGUGCAGAAGGCCCUUCAGCAAAAGAAUGUGGAGUGUGCCCGUGUAUAUGCCGAGAAUGCCAUCCGCAAGAAGAAUGAGGGUGUGAACUGGCUGUGCAUGGCAUCCCGUGUGGACGCAGUGGCCUCCAAGGUGCAGACGGCUGUGACCAUGAAAGGGGUGACCAAGAACAUGGCACAAGUGACCAAAGCCCUAGACAAGGCCCUGAGCACCAUGAACCUGCAGAAGCUGUCUGCAGUGAUGGACAGAUUUGAGCAGCAGGUGCAGAACCUGGAUGUACACACAUCGGUGAUGGAAGACUCCAUGAGCUCGGCCACCACACUCACUACGCCUCAGAAGCAAGUGGAUAGCCUUAUUGUGCAGAUUGCCGAGGAGAAUGGCCUAGAGGUACUAGACCAGCUCAGCCAGCUGCCCGAGGGCGCCUCUGCUGUGGGCGAGAGCUCUGUGCGUAGCCAGGAGGACCAGCUGUCUCGGAGGUUGGCUGCCUUGAGGAAUUAGCUGCCCCGCUGUACACUGCCUCCUCCACCCCAUGGAUCUUGCCACUGCCUCAGCUGCUCUCACCUGCAAGGCCCAGGUGGCCCCAGAAUUAUUCCUGUUUUCAUAGAGCGGCAGUGGGCCUCUGUCCUGGUGCUGCAUUUAUACGGA